CACUACGAACGGGUGGAGCCUGCGGUUUUAAUUGGUAUUCAACGCCGGAAACUCGUCGACCGGGGCGACAGCAAUAUGAAGGUCAGGCUGAAGACCUUACCCGAUUAGCUGAGAGGUGGUGCAUGGCCGUCGUCAGUUCGUACUGUGAAGCAUCCUGUUAAGUCAGGCAACGAGCGAGACCCACGUCCACAGUUGCCAGCAUACCCUCCGGGGUGAUGGGUACACUGUGGAGACCGCCGCUGCUAAAGCGGAGGAAGGAGUGGGCAACGGUAGGUCAGUAUGCCCCGAAUCUCCCGGGCUACACGCGGGCUACAAUGGUUGGUACAAUGGGCAUCUACCCCGAAAGGGGAAGGAAAUCUCUUAAAGCCAAUCGUAGUUCGGAUUGAGGGCUGCAACUCGCCCUCAUGAAGCUGGAAUCCGUAGUAAUCGCGUUUCAACAGAACGCGGUGAAUACGUCCCUGCUCCUU
rnacentral:rRNA from 1 species